AUUGAACGCUGGCGGCAGGCCUAACACAUGCAAGUCGAGCGAGCGGCGGACGGGUGAGCAAUAUGUGGGGAACUGCCUGAUGGAGGGGGAUAACAACUGGAAAAGGUAGCUAAAACACCAUACCAUAAGGUAUGCACAGAUGGGAUUAGCUAGUGGUUGGGGUAACGGCUCACCUAGGCGCCGCUCCCUAGCUGGUCUGAGAGGAGGACCAGCCACACUGGAACUGAGACACGGUCCAGACUCCUACGGGAGGCAGCAGUGGGGAAUAUUGCACAAUGGGCGCAAGCCUGAUGCAGCCAUGCCGCGUGUGUGAAGAAGGCCUUCGGGUUGUAAAGCACUUUCAGCGGGGAGGCGUUACCCGCAGAAGAAGCACCGGCUAACUCCGUGCCAGCAGCCGCGGUAAUUC
rnacentral:rRNA from 1 species